rnacentral:tRNA from 2 species
GCGGUUGUAGCUCAGUUGGUAGAGCACCACCUUGCCAAGGUGGAUGUCGCGAGUUCGAGUCUCGUCAACCGCUCCA